UUUCCAGUAAUUUCUGAUCGAAAUCGAAAAAGAAAGAAAGAAAAGGCUGAAAUGCUUCACAAUUCAACAUACCAGUAUCACAAAUAAGUUUUGGGAAGAAACUGAUUGCAUAAUAUGGGAAUUCAGCUUGGAGAUUUUUUAAUGAUAUCAAAUUUUGGAGCUUAUUUGCAGUAUAGGAACUAUAUAGUUCCUAUACUGUGGUAUUAUUAGGAAUUUUGAUCCGAUGAGUGUCAACCUUAAUUCAAAGAUUCCCAUUCUAUGAGAAUAAUUCCUAAAUGGGAAUAUGAAAUAAUACAUACCUACCUUGCUGGAUUUAUAAAUUAUUCAAAGAGCAUAUACUGAAUUUUUGUACUUAAAUUAUUAGUGUUAUAUGAAAAUGUUGAAUUCAGCAAAAGAAAGGAAUGUUAUAAAUUUCUACAAAUUCCGAAUACAUUUGAGUGCCAGAUAUACAAUUUCUAAAGCAUUUCACUAAGGAUCAUCAAACGGAGGCAGUUAGGGAAUGGGACAAAAAAGGAAGCUUGUGUUCUGGCCGACAAUCAAUGGUCAAAGACAGGCCAAGUCACUUCUCUCUUACUCGACGAACUGGACUAAAAAAGUUCUCACUCAGGAUUUCAUCAUGUCGUUUACAGUUGGAAGGUGUUGAUCUAUUCAAUAUUUUCCCCCUAUAACAACCCAAUGUUGCCAACCAGAUUCAUCAUUAUUUUGAAAUUAUUUCUCGCCAAUAAUUCUUUAGUAGCUACAAUAAUUGUUUGAACGAUGCUGCCAUAUAAUAAUUCAGAUCAACAUUGCAUGAUCAUUCAUAUGAUAGUUCUCAAGUGGAAAGGAAAUUAUAAAUAAAGCAACACUAUUAGAUAA